AAAAGAACUUUGGAGAGAGAGUUCAAUAGACCGUGAAACCGUUGGGAGGGAAGCUCAGGGUGUCGAGGUUGUCGUGCUCUGUCUAAGUUCAGCCGGUGGUGUCGGGGUUGCCCGACGCUGCUGGUGCAUUCUUGGGCGGAGUUGGACCGUCAGUUGGGAAGAGGCCGGGACCUGUUUGUCGGCGGUCGGGAGGUACGCCUUGGACCUCCUGUGGGGUUCAAGGUGACGUAUAGCCGUUCCGUCGUGGUCCCGGUGUCUCUUUCAGGUGCGUUGGAUGUCUGAUCGUCCAGAACAGUAAGAUGCAGUCUCUCUUUCGUGGGGGACCGGGCCCGUUUGGCAGUCGCGAUGCGUUGGUGAGCCGUGUUCCGUUCUCUCUCCGUUUAGCUUCGGCUUGCGGGGCAAGAGUGCGGCACGUCACUCCAGCGACGUUGUCCUGUCCAGGCGGUGUUCCAAGUUGUCUGCGUCGAGGCGACUGGCGAAGAGUCGUUACCCUGUGCCCCGUCUUG
rnacentral:sRNA from 2 species